CAGUAGCCGCGGUAAUACAGAGGGUGCAAGCGUUACUCGGAAUCACUGGGCGUAAAGGACGCGUAGGCGGAUUAUCAAGUCUCUUGUGAAAUCUAACGGCUUAACCGUUAAACUGCUUGGGAAACUGAUAAUCUAGAGUAAGGGAGAGGCAGAUGGAAUUCUUGGUGUAGGGGUAAAAUCCGUAGAGAUCAAGAAGAAUACCCAUUGCGAAAGCGAUCUGCUGGAACUUAACUGACGCUAAUGCGUGAAAGCGUGGGGAGCAAACAGGAUUAGAUACCCGCGUAGUCCCUGUCUCUUAUAC
rnacentral:rRNA from 1 species